rnacentral:rRNA from 1 species
UACGGAGGGGGCAAGCGUUGCUCGGAAUCACUGGGCGUAAAGGGCGCGUAGGCGGGGAGGUAAGUCGGAUGUGAAAGCUCGGAGCUCAACUCCGAAAUGGCAUUGGAAACUACCUUGCUCGAGGGUUGGAGGGGGGACUGGAAUGCUUGGUGUAGCAGUGAAAUGCGUAGAUAUCAAGCGGAACACCAGUGGCGAAGGCGAGUCCCUGGACAACUCCUGACACUGAGGCACGAAAGCUAGGGGAGCAAACAGG